rnacentral:rRNA from 1 species
CCGGCGACCGCGCGACGGUGANAACGCGUAUGCAACCUGCCCGUUUCAGCGGGAUAACCCGGAGAAAUCCGGCCUAAUACCGCAUGUGGCCGAGGGGAGGCAUCUUCUUUCGGCCAAAGGAGGCGACUCCGGAGACGGAUGGGCAUGCGUGACAUUAGCUUGUUGGCGGGGUAACGGCCCACCAAGGCGACGAUGUCUAGGGGUUCUGAGAGGAAGGUCCCCCACACUGGUACUGAGACACGGACCAGACUCCUACGGGAGGCAGCAG